ACUCCUACGGGAGGCAGCAGUGAGGAAUAUUGGUCAAUGGGCGCAAGCCUGAACCAGCCAUGCCGCGUGCAGGAAGACUGCCUUAUGGGUUGUAAACUGCUUUUAUAUGGGAAGAAACCCCUCUACGUGUAGAGGCUUGACGGUACCAUAAGAAUAAGCACCGGCUAACUCCGUGCCAGCAGCCGCGGUAAUACGGAGGGUGCAAGCGUUAUCCGGAAUCAUUGGGUUUAAAGGGUCCGCAGGCGGUCAAUUAAGUCAGAGGUGAAAUCCUAUAGCUUAACUAUAGAACUGCCUUUGAUACUGGUUGACUUGAGUUAUACGGAAGUAGGUAGAAUGUGUAGUGUAGCGGUGAAAUGCAUAGAUAUUACACAGAAUACCGAUUGCGAAGGCAGCCUACUACGUAUAUACUGACGCUCAUGGACGAAAGCGUGGGAGCGAACAGGAUUAGAUACCCUGGUAGACAUCA
rnacentral:rRNA from 1 species